UACAUUCUGCCAGAGAGGUGCUGCAGUUACACCUUUUGCCCACCAUGGGCUGCUGUGGUGCCAGAACAGAAGGCAGCCAGCCCUGGAGAAGCUGUGUUCCUCAUAGUACCCUGCUUGUGGGGCCAGGGAUAUCAAAGCACUUUAUAAAAGCUGAUUUUGUCCAGAUUGGGAAACCAAGGCACAGAAGUAGUGAUUUGCCCCAGAAGAAGGAAGAAACACAUGAAGUGAACUUACAGAGUUCUGAUCUCAACAGCUUUAGCUGCUAAUGUGUAACUGGACAUGUUUGAAAAAACUAUAUAAAAACAAAAAUGGUUUAAGGAUCCCAAAAUACCAUUCUAUAUGUAGAAGCCAAUCUACAAACUGAACAGAAAUGACCACAUCCACCACUGAAAUGUAGCCCCCUCUGGGGUUGAAGUGCAGCAGCUGCUUAACAGAACAGAGCCACAUUACACAGGUUUGAAGCAGAAUUCACUUUCUGAAUUCUGAAACUGAAAUUGCAGGGGGAAUGCAGGUACACAGAAUGCAGUUACCAGAGUUUGAAUAUGGCUAGGGCAAGAGGUACAGCACAUCUACUUUUGCAUGAAGUACCAACACCCAAAAUGUUGGAAGACUUUUCUCUUCUCUCUCCUUUUAAAGGAAGUUUCCCACCAAGCCCUAGUACAUGCUAGGGCACAUAUUCAAAGGGGAAGAGUGCCACUUACUAAAUUGUUUCUUGCAGCAAUGUUAAAGUGGAAAGAAACUUUUUAUUUCUUGAUCAAAGAUUAAUUGAACCCUUUGUAAUGAGAAUAUCAUUGAAUGUUUGUCUUACACAGAUGAUGCCUGCAGUACAAGCCUGUGUUCUGUCCUGUGUCUGUUUUGUUGAACUGUCAUUUCCAAACUCCGGUGUCAUAGGACACCUUGUGGCCUAACAUUUCUUCUUUAGGGAAUUAAUUGAUUUUUCCUGUCUUGAGAUGUGAAGAUUCAGAGUUUGCAUGUAACUCUGUCACUUGUGUGUGCAGUAAUGCCAGCAGGAGAGCAGCUGGAGGCCACUUGGAGACCUUUCAUGUGACAGAGGAGCAAAAUCGUGAACAGAUUUAUUUGUGAUACUUCUCCUACCCUUUACUACCAAACCAGUUUGUUGUUCUGUACUGUACAUGAAUGGUCUUUGUUGCUGAAUCAAUUCCACCCAGAUGCCACAUGGAGAUUUUUGCUUUUGUUGAAUUGUUUGUUUUGUUUUUAAAUACUAUAAAGCCAAAACAGCUGUCUUACUACAUAGCAAAUCCUCCAGAUCAAAAGUAAUGAUGAGGUUGACCAUUCAUAUGUGUAUAGAGCUCUAAACCUACUUAACUAUAUUAAUUGUGACACAAAACAGAUGUUCACUACUUACCUACACAUAUUGCAACUCCUAUGUAGGCAACAGUUGUAAUCAGAAUGGCCAACAUUGUUCCUUUGGGUAUAGCAGCUUGUGGGUCCUUAAAAAUUGUAAUUGCAAAAAUUGCUGUGAGUCCUUUAUAUAUUUGUAAAUUAAGAGUUUGUACUGUGAUUAUUUACAAGUUAGCAAGUUUUGGUGCUGCCACUUUGUGAUAUGAAAAUAUUUUGGGGAGGGAGAAAUUGUUACCAGUUAGAUCUGUACAAGGAACUCACUCUCCAGCAUGCGGGUGGAGUCAGGGUGGAGUGACACCAUCCCUGUCCCCUGAGUGCUGCAAAGGAGGCACUGCAGAUCCAGAACUCCAUUUAGGGCAGUGCCACACUGUGAGACUCCCAUGCUGUACAUUUAGUGUAACUUUAAGUCCCCUUUGCACCAGCACAGCAGUGGUCCUUAAUGUCCUGCUUUAAGCACUCACUCAAACUACCCAUCUCAUUGUACAAUUCAAUUAGCCAGUAAGAUUAGGGCAAACAGUCAUUUUGAAAGAAAGACACUACUAUUACUGUUGGAAACUCAUAAUCCCGAGUUAUGUCCAAAGUGAGCUCCUACCUUUCAGGUUGCUUUUACUUUUACAUUAGAUUAUUCAGGAAAAGUCUGCUGGGAAAAAAGUUAUUGCAGGGAGAGGCAAGUGAGUUGGGUCAGCAUUUCUUUUAUAAACUGUAACUGAAGACUAUAUCAGCACUGUUCAUGCUUCUGUGGAUAAAGGGCUCUAAGACAUUCCAUUAUUAAUUAUGAUUUUUAGGAGAUUUUAAUACCAUAAAAAAUUCUUGCAGGCAAUAACUUGGUAUAUACUUGUUCAGCCUAGAAAGCAAUUUGUUGUUAAUUUUCUUUUUAAAUUGGUUUAGUGGGUUUUUUUUUUUUAUUUACUUAAAAGAUUUGUUUUUCCAAAUGAAAUGUAGCAAAUCAUUGUGUGUAAUGUGGAUGAAUGACUUAAUUAUGUUAAUUCUUAACAUUAUCAAACAAGAAUUAAUGUAGUAAAGUUUCACUGGGCUAAAAAUCCCCAAACAAAUCACUUCAGUUGCAUAUGAAUCCUUAACCUUCAGUCAUUAUGGCUUUUAACACAUGCCAUCCCAGUGUUCAUGUGUCAAGUAGCCAUUGUAUAGGUAGGAUCUUAUGCUGCAAUCUUAAAACACUAACUAGAAGGACAUUUUCUCAAUAUGCCAUCACCCUUUCAGGGUCUGAGCUAAAGCCCUUGAAGUCAAAGCAGACUCUCAUGGACAUCAAUGAAUUUUGGAUCAGGCCCUUCAUGAAUGAAUGAAUGACUGCCUGUUUCAGAGACAUGGCCUUAUAACUUGGCUACAAACUUUAGAGGCAGUUUAGUUUGUCUACUUCUAAAUUUUAAACUACAGCUUAUGUUGUGUUUCAGGUUUCUCUUUAGGCUGAUUAAUUUCAUUAGAUCGCUCUUGAUGCAUCUAAGCAUGGACAGUGGGGGAUUCUCAUUGUGGAUGGGGGCUGUGGAAACAUCCAUACAGCAGGCAAUACAGCUCUGUAGGGCUGAUGUGUAGUGGGAAUGUUAUGUGUCCCACCAAUCCAUUCACUCCCCACCCUGUCCUAGUUCCUGAGUGGUUCCUGAGAUCUGUGGAGAGAACUCCACGUUGUCUGGGAAGGAAGAGAUGCUGCAGUGGAAGCUCUACUGAGAUAUGUGUGAUUCCUUUCACAUCAGUGGCCUGCCAGGCAAAGGCCUAAAUCAAAGCAGCUGCUUUUCUUGUGCACACUAGGUUUGAUGAAAUAAUGGGGAUUCUCUCAGCUGGAAUGAGAAGGGCCUGGUUCAGUCUCAACAGAAUGCUUGAAAAAUCAUGAAAAAUCAUUUCUAAAAAUCAUGAAAAAAAAGAAAUCCAUUACAAAUGCUAUUGGCUGGAUGCUAUCAUGCUUACUCCUAUUGAGUAGCACCUGGCUUCAAAAGCAGCCCCAGUAAAACAAAGGCAACCCAAGCUCUUGGAGCAGAGAUCCUAGCGGGGAGGGGAGGUUCGCCUUCCUCUGAAGCAUGGGGCACAGGUCAUUUGUUGGUUUAAACUAGAGUAAAUGGUGGAUUCUCUAUAACUUAAAAUCUCUAGCUCAAGAUUUGAGGCCGUCAGUAAUUCAGUCAGAGGGUAUGGGCCUAUUGGAGGAGUGGGCAGGUGAGCUUCCAUGGCCUUCAAUGUGCCGGAGGACAGACAAGAUGAUCUUGAUGGUCUCUUCAGGCCUUAAAGAUGAUGAGUUUAUGACACUGCUCAGUGUGAGUAAGGAUGACACAACUGGCCCUUAGAUUGAACUGGAGCAGUUUGUGGAUGUUUUUCAAAUACUUGCGUAUCAAAUCAAUUUGACUGGAGUUGAGCACUUUAACAGGCAUACAUCCGCAAAACCAGACUGCAUGAUAAGGCUCAAGAACUUUAUUUAACAUUUAAUUUAUGGGUGUUCCACCCACUAGAAUAUUUGGGAGACCAUUUUAUAACUCAAAUUCUAAGUCCAAACCACCAAUGCGUCUCAAAUACUCCACAGACGGCCGUUGAUUUGUUUGUGAUAUUCUUUGAAUAUUACUGAGUACUGAAUAGCUUCACAAGUAUUGUGACUGUUUCAUCAAGUACUUCACAAAGCCAGAAAAGCCCCAUUUUUUUGUAUUUCACAAGUACGAUUCAAUCCGCUAUAAUAUUAGGUAUCACUAAAGAGCUAAUAUAAAGCCAUAAAAACUAGAUGGCCCUCAUAGUUAAAGCUAAAACCAAAUCCUUAAUUUACCAGUUUGCUUAAAUAUUGGAAACAUUUAAUUGAAAAUUUAGUGACUGAAAAAUUAGUGACCUAAAAUAAUUUAUAUUGGUUGCAAGGGUAAAGAGGAAACACUUAAGGGUCUGCUCUCCUAUUGGUUUUACCAAAAAGCUCUUUUUUUGCACAUGAGCUUUCCAUUUCCUUGUUUUUAUGGGUGUAAAACUUGAGUUUUAUGGUAUACUUUUCAGUAUGAUAUAAGGGGAAUUAGCGAAGCAAUUGUAAUGGAAUUAUACAGCUAAUUUCCA